GACGAACGCUGGCGGCGUGCCUAAUACAUGCAAGUAGAACGCACAGUUUAUACCGUAGCUUGCUACACCAUAGACUGUGAGUUGCGAACGGGUGAGUAACGCGUAGGUAACCUGCCUGGUAGCGGGGGAUAACUAUUGGAAACGAUAGCUAAUACCGCAUAAUAUUAAUUAUUGCAUGAUAAUUAAUUGAAAGGUGCAAUUGCACCACUACCAGAUGGACCUGCGUUGUAUUAGCUAGUAGGUGAGGUAACGGCUCACCUAGGCGACGAUACAUAGCCGACCUGAGAGGGUGAGCGGCCACACUGGGACUGAGACACGGCCCAGACUCCUACGGGAGGCAGCAGUAGGGAAUCUUCGGCAAUGGACGAAAGUCUGACCGAGCAACGCCGCGUGAGUGAAGAAGGUUUUCGGAUCGUAAAGCUCUGUUGUAAGAGAAGAACGGGGGUGAGAGUGGAAAGUUCACACUGUGACGGUAUCUUACCAGAAAGGGACGGCUAACUACGUG
rnacentral:rRNA from 1 species